GCCUCUGUGGUGUAGUGGUAGCACGGGCCCAAUGUAUGGGUGGAACACGGGUUCAACUUCCGUUUGAGGAU